AUACGAAAUUUUAAAAAUGCUUUGAUUUUCAUUUUAUAUUUAGAAUAACAAAAAAAUUAAAUCAGUAAGAGAAACGAAAAAACGUGCGUUUUUUCAUUUUCUGAGACCGGAAGUGGUCAUCAGCAAGUGUGGAGCCAAACGACAACAAGUUUCUCAGAGGGCGGAGCCAGAGAGCAGUGAUUGGUCAGACCAUAGAAGACAGCGCGCUAGCGUAUCUAGUCUGUGUAUAUCUAUGGUCGGCACGUCUGGUAGCAUCUCUGGCUGCUGUUGAUCUUGUUUUUGGAGUAAAACACGGUGGAAGCUGAAUUAGUGAGGAUGACUCCUGCUCCUGUCAUCUCUAAACUCCUCACACAUCUUUACCUGCACAUGAGGAAAAUCACUCCUGUAGAAUGCAGUGGUUCAUCAGAACCUCUGGGGAUGUCCUGUGGAUCCUGUGGAUCCUGUGGGUUGCAGGGUGGGUCCUACCUAGACCAGGCUGAUCCUGGACCAUCCCACAGAUGCUCAAUCAGAUCUGGAUGUGGGGAGUGUGGAACCCAGAUGUUCAGAGGGAGAUGAUGCCACAUCUGGUCCAGCUGAUGGAAGGUCUUGAAGUUCUCUGACUGGCCUCGACUGAAGAUGGUCGUCUCACUGGAUUUAAGGUUCAGAUGCUCAGUAACAAACUCCACCAAUGUGCCAACAGGGAAGCUUUAGGUUUAUUAAAUGUUGCUAUGAAGGUAUCACUGUUUUUCUUUGUGAAUGCAAUGUGCUCCAACUGAAACUUGAAUUAGAACUUAGAAGUAAAUCCUUCCAUCUGAAAGGAUUUAGUUGCAUUAAUAACCUCAUAACAUUCUAAUUUUUAUUCCAGUCUUGGUUGGAAAUAGAAUCUCUGUAUUGAUUCAGGUAAAAACUGAACUUCACAGCAUGUUGGAGCAAAACAACCAGAUGAAAACUGUGAUGGUGUUGGAUUGUCAGACCGUAAUGUUGCAGCUCAAAGCAGCUUUUCUAUCUCAGUUCAUUCUGACAUUCAGCUAUGAAUCAACACAGCAGAUGGUGAUCCAUGCUGUGGAAGUCUCACAUCUCCUGAUUUAAUGGAGCUGCUUUGCACUUUUUACACUGUUUAUUCACCAACACUUUAUUUAAUAAAAGUCCCAUCUAGUUUUUAUGAGGAAUGUGAUGUUUUAAUUUCUCUGAAUAACUGCAGUCUAAUGCAACAGCUGGAACUGUAACAUCUGUCC
ensembl:lncRNA